rnacentral:rRNA from 1 species
UGUGUAGGCGGAGAGGCAAGUCAGAUGUGAAAUCUAUGGGCUCAACCCAUAGCUUGCAUUUGAAACUGUCUCCCUUGAGCGUGGGAGAGGUGAAUGGAAUUCCUGGUGUAGCGGUGAAAUGCGUAGAUAUCAGGAGGAACACCGGUGGCGAAGGCGAUUCACUGGCCCAUGACUGACGCUGAGACACGAAAGCGUGGGGAGCAAACAG